rnacentral:rRNA from 1 species
AGAGUUUGAUCCUGGCUCAGGAUGAACGCUAGCGACAGGCUUAACACAUGCAAGUCGAGGGGCAGCGGGGAAGUAGCAAUACUUCCGCCGGCGACCGGCGCACGGGUGAGUAACACGUAUGGAACCUGCCCGUAGCAGGGGGAUAAGCGGAAGAAAUUCCGUCUAAUACCGCGUAAUAACUCCGAGAGGCAUCUCAUGGAGUUUAAAGGGUAACACCGGCUACGGAUGGCCAUGCGGCGCAUUAGCUAGUUGGCGGGGUAACGGCCCACCAAGGCGACGAUGCGUAGGGGUUCUGAGAGGAAGGUCCCCCACACUGGUACUGAGACACGGACCAGACUCCUACGGGAGGCAGCAGUGAGGAAUAUUGGUCAAUGGGCGCGAGCCUGAACCAGCCAAGUCGCGUGAGGGAAGACGGUCCUAUGGAUUGUAAACCUCUUUUGUCGGGGAGCAAAAGACGUCACGUGUGGCGUUCCGAGAGUACCCGAAGAAAAAGCAUCGGCUAACUCCGUGCCAGCAGCCGCGGUAAUACGGAGGAUGCGAGCGUUAUCCGGAUUUAUUGGGUUUAAAGGGUGCGCAGGCGGAAGAUCAAGUCAGCGGUAAAAUUGAGGGGCUCAACCUCUUCGAGCCGUUGAAACUGGUUUUCUUGAGUGAGCGAGAAGUAUGCGGAAUGCGUGGUGUAGCGGUGAAAUGCAUAGAUAUCACGCAGAACUCCGAUUGCGAAGGCAGCAUACCGGCGCUCAACUGACGCUCAUGCACGAAAGUGUGGGUAUCGAACAGGAUUAGAUACCCUGGUAGUCCACACAGUAAACGAUGAAUACUAAUUGUUCGGGGAGAAUGAUCCCUGAGUGAUACAGCGAAAGCGUUAAGUAUUCCACCUGGGGAGUACGCCGGCAACGGUGAAACUCAAAGGAAUUGACGGGGGCCCGCACAAGCGGAGGAACAUGUGGUUUAACUCGAUGAUACGCGAGGAACCUUACCCGGGCUCAAACGACACAGGAAUACUUUUGAAAGGAGGUAGCUCUACGGAGCCUGUGUCGAGGUGCUGCAUGGUUGUCGUCAGCUCGUGCCGUGAGGUGUCGGCUUAAGUGCCAUAACGAGCGCAACCCCCAUCGCCAGUUACCAGCAAGUCAAGUUGGGGACUCUGGCGAGACUGCCGGCGCAAGCUGUGAGGAAGGCGGGGAUGACGUCAAAUCAGCACGGCCCUUACGUCCGGGGCGACACACGUGUUACAAUGGCAGGUACAGAGAGAAGCAAUGCGGCGACGCAAAGCGGAACUUGAAAGCCUGUCUCAGUUCGGAUUGGAGUCUGCAACUCGACUCCAUGAAGCUGGAUUCGCUAGUAAUCGCGCAUCAGCCAUGGCGCGGUGAAUACGUUCCCGGGCCUUGUACACACCGCCCGUCAAGCCAUGGAAGCCGGGAGUGCCUGAAGUGUGCAACCGCAAGGAGCGCCCUAAGGUAAAACUGGUGACUGGGGCUAAGUCGUAACAAGGUAACC